GAUGUAUCUUUGUUAUUUAUUAUUCAUAGAAAAUACACCUGACUCCAUCCAUUGACUUCUAUAAGAAAUUAGCCUUGGACUGUUCUGGUCAACAGGUAGCUGUUGACUUAUUCCUUCUCAGUGGACAGUAUUCUGAUUUGGCUUCUCCGGGUAAGUUCUUCAUGAUUGUUUUCUUCAGUGAAUGGUGAAAUGACAUAUGACGUUAUUCUAAGUAGAAGGCAACGUAAGAGCAUUUAUUCCCUUGAAUAAUGCCCAGGCUGGUCUCAAUUUCCCCUUCCCCCCAGCCUUCUAAGCAGCUGGGGGCUGCAGGUGUGCACAAUAGCCUCCUGCUGAUCAGUUUAACCAGUAAUAAAUCUUAUAGUGGGCUAUGCUAAUUUAGUAGGAGAGAAAUAGAGAAGUUUCUAUACCACUAAUGGAUUAUUCUUUUUGACAGGACCUUGAGAAGUUAGAGAAAAGCUGAGUGAAAUGCCUGCAGUUACUUUGGUGUGGUAAUAGUAGCAUCAUUUAAAAGGAGUUUGUGGGAGUGUCAGAAGGAGGAGCAUUUGGGGUUGGGAACCAGCAGGAGUCUGGAGGAUGAGAGGGACUUCCUGUCUCUGCCCAAUGUCAACCCAGAUGCCAGGUAUACAGUACAGAUGUCAGCGGAAAAGAGUCUUCCUGACAUGCAGUUGGGUUCUUUUCAGUCAGCACUCUUGUAUACAUCAAGCAAAGGUGAAAGAAGAAUACUAUCCGUACUUUGUGUUUGCCAGUAGUUUCAACUCUGAAUGAAGUCUUUCUGGAAGCUGAUGUUCAAGCAAUUUCAGGGUUAUUGGCCAAUAUGGAAAUCAUUCCAGACUGGACAAACGUGUAUCUAGAAGAACACAUUUUGCUGUGUCAAGUGCAAACCCAGCCCUUGGUUCACCUUAUGCUCACAACUCAUCCCAGUUUGUACAGAAUUGACAAUCUCUCAGAUGAGGAAAGAUGGAUUCCUU
rnacentral:lncRNA from 1 species